AGGGGCAGCGGGGAAAAGCUUGCUUUUCCGCCGGCGACCGGCGCACGGGUGCGGAACGCGUAUGGAACCUGCCCCUGUCAGGGGAAUAGCCCAGGGAAACUUGGAUUAAUGCCCCAUGGUACCGUUAUAUCGCAUGAUAUUUCGGUUAAAGAUUUAUCGGACAGGGAUGGCCAUGCGUACCAUUAGUUAGUUGGUGGGGUAACGGCCCACCAAGGCAGCGAUGGUUAGGGGCCCUGAGAGGGGGAUCCCCCACACUGGUACUGAGACACGGACCAGACUCCUACGGGAGGCAGCAGUGAGGAAUAUUGGACAAUGGGCGGGAGCCUGAUCCAGCCAUGCCGCGUGCAGGAUGACGGCCCUAUGGGUUGUAAACUGCUUUUAUACGGGAAGAACUUCGCCCACGAGUGGGCGUCUGACGGUACCGUAAGAAUAAGGACCGGCUAACUCCGUGCCAGCAGCCGCGGUAAUACGGAGGGUCCGAGCGUUAUCCGGAAUCAUUGGGUUUAAAGGGUCCGUAGGCGGGCCUGUAAGUCAGGGGUGAAAGUUUGUGGCUCAACCAUAAAAUUGCCUUUGAUACUGCAGGUCUUGAGUCAUGGUGGGGUCGCC
rnacentral:rRNA from 1 species